CCCUACUCCAACUACUUGCUUGUGUUUGUGCAAAAACAAAAAUAUAUUUGCUAACACUUACACUUGCUAGAUACAUUUGAACACUGAAAACUCAGAUAUAUGAAGGUGUAGCUGUGACAAAAGCAGCAUACUUGGAAAACAAUUGCCUAUGCACAUACAUAUAAACCGAUUAUUACUGGGAAGAAAAAUUGGCAGUGAGACCUAAAUGAAUAUCCUUUUCUAAGGGGCCA